AUGGCUCGAUGAGCUGCGAAGUAAGUUCUACUCUACUCUCCUCGGAACUCUUUGUGCUUUGCCUUCAUUUUUCUUGCUUGCAUUGUCCUAGACUUGGUUUGCAUCGCUUUGCACUGGGAUUUCUUCUUUCCAUUGUCAUGUUUACAUUGUUCUUGACUUCGUGGCAGAUUCACAGCCUAGAUGGUGAUAGAACUCAUUCUUUUCUUCUUCGCGACGUUGUUUUGUAUCUAUCGAUGCACAGUCUAGUUGAUAUUGAUUUGCUACUUGAAAUUCUAGAGGCCUCUCUGUUUGCAUUAGUAGCCUGGUUUGCAUCGCUUUGUUUUUUUUUUUCUCUCUUUGUCGAUUUUGUUCACGUCGUCAUGUUUACAUUGUUCUUGAUGCACGGCCUAGAUGGUGGUAGAAAUCAUUCUUUUCUUGGUGUUCUUCGCGACGUGGUUUGCUGCCUUUUCAUCAAUGCACAGUCUAGU
rnacentral:lncRNA from 1 species